GCUUACGGCCAUACCACCCUGAACACCGCCCGAUCUCGUCCGAUCUCGGAAGCUAAGCAGGGUCGGGCCUGGUUAGUACUUGGAUGGGAGACCGCCUGGGAAUACCAGGUGCUGUAAGCU
rnacentral:rRNA from 1 species